AUCCAGCUGACGAGUUCCAAAUAGGACGAAACGCGCAUCCUGGAU
rfam:Schistosoma margrebowiei strain Zambia genome assembly, scaffold: SMRZ_contig0001320